rnacentral:rRNA from 1 species
ACGGAAGGCAGCAGUGAGGAAUAUUGGACAAUGGUCGGAAGACUGAUCCAGCCGUGCCGCGUGAAGGAUAAAGGUCCUAUGGAUUGUAAACUUCUUUUGUACGGGAGCAAUAAGGUGUAUGCAUACACUGAUGAGAGUACCGUACGAAUAAGCAUCGGCUAACUCCGUGCCAGCAGCCGCGGUAAUACGGAGGAUGCGAGCGUUAUCCGGAUUUAUUGGGUUUAAAGGGUGCGUAGGCGGAUUGCCAAGUCAGCGGUGAAACGCACAGGCUUAACCUGUGACCUGCCGUUGAAACUGGUGGUCUGGAAUACGGAUGCUGUGGGAGGAAUGCGUGGUGUAGCGGUGAAAUGCAUAGAUAUCACACAGAACACCGAUUGCGAAGGCAUCUCACAAAUCCGUCAUUGACGCUGAGGCACGAAAGCGUGGGGAUCAAACAGGAUUAGAUACCCUGGUA